ensembl:lncRNA
UUGUGAUGUGUCUGCCUUUAACUUCUGCCUGUGCCCAGCAUUUUGGAUUGUGGCUGGGACCACUUAUUUUUUUGUUUUAGCUCUGUAUGGACACCUAAAAACUCCAAAGAAACAAAAAGAACAAAAAAAUCCACCCCUCACAAACAAACAAAAUUUCUCAAAUUUCAUUUAAGGUUAUAUUCUCUGGUACAGUGAAUGGAAGCAGUAAGAGAAACUUAGAGGAGAAAAUAGUAUGUAAUCUCACAAUGUGUGAACAUAACUUCAAGAAGCAUUUUCCCUUAAGAACAUUUUUUUAGACUGCCUUAGUUCUGUGUAUGUUCCUGUUUCAUCCUUCAACACAUGCUAUUGCAAUCUGAAGUUAAAAUGUGUAUCUCAUUCUUCUGGAAACAUGCCAUUUCAGAGAUUGGGUGAGAAGGUUUACUUUUUGGCUAAUAGUACAAUGUGUUGCCAAAGCCUUCUGAAAAGUGUUCAACAACUUAGCUUGUUUUUAAGGUAAGAGUGUAAUAAAGAUACUGGGUGAAAAUUUGAUGUUGUCUUCAUGCCUGAAGCAGGAGACUUCACCAGCACAAGAGCAGAUUGGUAAUGCGGACAAGACAAUGAUGACACCUCUGGAAGGCAUGCUGAGGGUUACCAUAGAGAAAGAAGAUAAAGAGGGAAUGGAAGAAAAGACAAUAAAGAGUGGAAAAUGGAAGUUGAGCCAGCUGGCAGAGCUCCGACAAACUUUUGCACUGAUGGGAGAUCCUGUUGCCACCAACUCAAUGAAGAACUGUUAAAAGCAGCAACAUUGCAGAUCAGUAAGCACCUGUGGGCCUUGACGAGACCCUGAGGAAGGACAGCUGUAAAUUCUUAGGUUGUGCUCUGUCCCUCUUCCCAGCCACCUCCAGCCUCAGCUACCAGCCCGGAUGCUGGCACACUGCCUACAACAGCGGCACCUGGGCCUGGGCAGCCUUUAACAACUGCUUGUGGGGGACAGCACCAGCGCUCACAACGCCAAGCAGGGCUCAGAACCUCUUCCUUGUGGGCCCAGAAGAGCCAUCUCUGCCUUGUAGUGAUUACUUGUGGUUUUUAAUUGCCUUGGAGCAACCUCCCAGGGACUGAGGUGAGGCAUGUUAAUUUUUGCAGCACCUGGCACAGUUGUGACCCACAGCAUGGACAGCAGGGCGUGAGCCACCUCCUCUGUGAGGGCUGCCAGCCCUUCUCCCAGCACCCUGCCCUGGCAUGGCCACCACAGCCCAGCCCUAGUCAGCAGCAGCACAACAUGAGCCGGGAUGUGCCCAGGAGGCCAAGAAGGCUGAUGGCACCUUGGCCUGUACCAGCAGUAGUGUGGCCAGCAGGACCAGGGUGUUUAUCUUCUCCCUCUGCUUGGCACUGGUGAGGCUGUACCUUGAAUUCUGUGCACAGUUCUGGGCCUCUCACUUCAGGGACGACAUUGAGGGGCUGGACCGUGUCCAGAGAAGGGGAACGAAGCUGGGGAAGGGUCUGGAGCACGAGUCUGAUGAGGAGCAGCCGAGGGAGCUGGGGGUGUUGAGCCUGGAGAAAGGGAGCCUCAGGUUUUUGCUCUCUACCACCACCUGAAAGAAGGCUGCAGCCAAGUGGGGUCUGGCCUCUUCUGACAGGCAACCAGUGACAGGGCAGGAGGACAGCGGAGGUUGAGGUUGGCUAUCAGGGUGAAUUUCUUCACAUUAAAGGCGAUAAGACAUUGGAAUGGGCAGCCCAGAUUGGAAUCAUCAUCCGUGAAGGUGUUUAAGGAGGUGACACUUAGUGCCCUGGUCU